AAAGAAAAGGUCAGGGAUUCUGAAAUUUUAAAAUGACUAAAGUAAUCAGUUCUCUUCCAAACAGAAACAGGAAACUUUUUAGGUCUUUGGAAAACAGGACACUGCACGAUCGUAAGACAGUCUAUCUUAAUUUACUCACUACAUCGUACAAAUUUAUGAAGUGCUAACCAAGUUUCAGACAUUGCCAGGGGUUACAGAGGAAACACGUGUUGUUAGUAGGUGAGGGACGCAGGCCUCCAGGUGGGAGCCUGCAAGGAGGCCGAGCACAAACGCCAACGGCCAAGCCAAGCGCAGGAAAGGACGACAGCAAAGGAGAGGCACAGGGCCCGCGUGGGGACGGGGGACGGAAGGAGGAGCCUUCGGGAGAGGGGGCGCAGCUGGCUCUGGCCGACUCUACCCCCGCAGGGCUGGAAGCGUGGAAAUACGGAAGGAGAAGCGGGGCAUCCUGAGCAGAGCUACGUCCCGGCGAGGAAACGCAGGGUGCGCGCAGGAGCAGCCAGUGAGCGGUGCCAGGCUGGAGAGGGUGACAGGGCGGGCGCUGAGGCAGGCACGGGUCUGAACAGCAGGGCCAGCGACAGGCGGAAACAGCCGCUCAGAGCGCCAGCAGAGCGCCCUGCAGAACGGGAACCCCGCGGCGGGGCGGGGGGGGGGGGGCGGGCGAGCGGCUCAGUUCCCUCCUCCGACCCAUUUCCCCGGAGCCCCAGAGCCAGGCACUGCUCCGGCCGCCCCGCAGAGCAGUGAGCACAAGACAACCGAAAUCUCUGCCUCGUGGAGCGGCCCUUUCGGGGGGAGACAGGUGAACUAAAACCUGGUUCUAGGAAGACACUCUUUUUCAAGAGUGACAACAGAUAUGGAGGUUUCUACGUUUCCCAGUCCCAGAAAGAGAGAGCUUCAAAACAUAAAUUUGCACUGAGGAAAAGAAAAAUGCCACGGGGGACCUAGAGGCGGGUGAGUGACGGCGUGGGCGCUGGGGAGGGAACACCCGCCACCGCCUACCGACCUCUGCGCCCUUGGCCUGUUUGUUUUAAAGAUACGGCUCCCCCGACUCCUCCGCAGCGCUCUGAAGGCACCCCGCGACCGCGUGCACAACGGCUGCGUUCCGCUCUCACUCCACAGUUCAGCCCUGGAGAGUGUGUCCCCAAGACGGGCUCACCAUCUAGUGGCCAACACGUACGCAGCAACAAGCGUAAGGUGAGCACAGAGAAGAGGAGCACAGACACAACAGGAAAAGAAAACACUUUCUGUAAAAAUAAUCGGCCGAGGAUAAGGAGGAGGCAGCGGUGGGAGAGCUGCAGCGGCCUGGCGCGGAGUGACGGAGGCUGAGGGGAGAGGCCCCUGGCGAGGGGUAUCAGAGCCUGCGUGAGGCGCCGGCAGUGACGAAGGGACACUGAUUUGAUCAAAUAAAUAUUUUGUGGAUAAUGGGA